rnacentral:ncRNA from 1 species
UAUUUAAAUAUACGUAGUGUUUGCUUGUCCAUUUUUAUUUUUUUUAUAGUUGAUCGUUUAGGUCCGUGUUGUAUUUUUAGCUUUUAAAUAGAUCUACAUGUAAGCUUAAGCGAGAAAUUAAAGUUAAUCAACUUUAAAAAGAAACCCUCAGUAGAAAAUAUUAGAAAUAUAGAAAAUUUUUAUCUAGGUAAUUUUUUAGAAGUGGAUAAUGGCGUGCCAGCAGCCGCGGUUAUACUCCUGCUUCAAGUUAAAAAUAAUGUACAAAAUUAUGUUUGUAAUUUUUUAGGGGAGUUUUUUGGAAUUAUUAGGUAGAAUUUUAAUUUUUAAGAAUGACAAUACUUUAUAAACAUAGAAAUUAUAGUAGGGACCAGGAUUAGAUACCCUGUUACUUAUACACAAUAGAUUUUGGAAUAGUAGUAAUUAUAAAAUUUAACGGAUUUGGCGGCAAGAUAGCCAUUUAGAGGAACCUGCCCUAUAAACGAUGAACCACGAAUUACUCUACUUUUAUUUGAAAUUCAGUUUGUAUACCGCUGUUGUCAGUCAGUUUCUUUAGAAAACUUUCGCGCAUGAAAAAAUUAUAGACUUCAAGUAAAGGUGCAGCUUAUAUAAAAGAUAGAGGUGGGUUACAUUUAAAAGAUUAAUACGGAUAAAGUUUUUGAAACAACUUUUGAAGGUGGAUUUAAUUGUAAAGUUUAAUAAAACUUGAUGAGAGCUCUGUCUUGUGUACACACCGCCCGUCGCUCUCUUUUUUAAACGAGAUAAGUCGUAACAAGGUAAGUGUAAUGGAAAUUGUACUUGA